CUACGUGCCAGCAGCCGCGGUAAUACAUAGGUCGCAAGCGUUAUCCGGAAUUAUUGGGCGUAAAGCGUUCGUAGGCUGUUUAUUAAGUCUGGAGUCAAAUCCCAGGGCUCAACCCUGGCUCGCUUUGGAUACUGGUAAACUAGAGUUGGAUAGAGGUAAGCGGAAUUCCAUGUGAAGCGGUGAAAUGCGUAGAUAUAUGGAAGAACACCAAAGGCGAAGGCAGCUUACUGGGUCUAUACUGACGCUGAGGGACGAAAGCGUGGGGAGCAAACAGGAUUAGAUACCCUGGUAGUCCACGCCGUAAACGAUGAUCAUUAGUCGGUGGGAGCCACUGACGCAGCUAACGCAUUAAAUGAUCCGCCUGAGUAGUAUGCUCGCAAGAGUGAAACUUAAAGGAAUUGACGGGGACCCGCACAAGCGGUGGAGCAUGUGGUUUAAUUCGAUGCAACGCGAAGAACCUUACCUGGUCUUGACAU
rnacentral:rRNA from 1 species